GAACGAUGCCUCGAAGAGGGUGCUGGGAUGGGAGGUAGGACAACAAUUGGGCAGAGAAGGAAUUAAAACCCUUUGACCUUUGUCUUGAUUCUCUGUCCUAUGAUGGGUUUGACCAUUUCUGAGACCCCUCCCAGGUCUGGCUUUCCCUGUUCUAAGGUUCCUUCUAAGUCUGACUUUUGUUCUAUUCAAACUCCUCAUGAAUCAACAUUGAGCAACAAGAAUAGCCCACCAGUAAGCAAGAAAAAACGUCAUCUUCCAGCCUUGGGGAGGGAACUCACGGCCAUGCCAGUUACUUCCAACCCUUGCUUAGCUGUGAUAAAUGGGUUGCGUGAUGCUGGCUGUGGCUCUAGUUCUCAAAUUCCAUGCUGGUGAUUUGGACUUCCCAAAGCCCCCUGGUUGCCAUGCAGAUGAUCAGAGGAUCUUUGAUCUGAAACUGGAAAGAACCCUGAAAAUGAAGGUCCGGAGAGUAAGUGGAUUGCCCAGGCAGAAUUUAGCAGAACUGGGCUUUGAACCCAAGUCACAGGACUAAGUCAGGCUCCAAAUGAAAUCAGGACAAGAACAAAUGAGUUCUUCACCUAACAGAAAAUGCCAAGUGAGUCAUUUUGCAGUGCCGGUCUCUAUCUCGCCUUUAGCAGGAACCAGAUUCAGCAACCCCAAUUCAUAACUGUUCAUUUGUCUGUGUCUACCAGGGCCCCAAAUGUAGGCUCUUUAAGUUGAGAAAUAGCUCGUCAUCCAAUUUGGUGUGGAAAAAUGAGGCUAUGAAAAUGACUAAUGCAAAAUGAAGCUCGCAACCACCACAUCGAGCUACACUGGAGCCAGAGAGUUUAAGCAGUGGGUCGUGGAGCCGGCAUGCCAUCCUGGAGACAAUGAGGGGCCACUCUAAGCUCUUGCGUGGCAAGAGUCUGAUGUAUAGAGGAAACAGAUAAUUUUGCAAGCUGCACGUAGGCUGGAUCUGAAGGGAGAGAGUGGCUGGC
rnacentral:lncRNA from 1 species